AGAAGGAAAAAAGGAAGUUAUUAAUAUAGCCAAAGGUUUCAAAGUCUUGGUGAUUUAUAACUGAAAAAAAAAAAAUAAGGCUGAUAAAAGAGAACAAAGCUUGUACUACCAAGUCAGAUUUGUUAACUAAAAGGAUAGAAAGGGGAAAGGAGAUAGAUGGCUGAAACUAAAACAAAAGCCUUCAUUUGCUAAGUUUUACAACUCUCACUUAUGUACCACCUACCUACUUGGACCUAUAAUUUCAUUAGGCAGUCAACGCUGGUAAUGAUAUUCUAAGAGACUCGCCAUUAUGGUCAGUUGUGCUCUCUUAUACUCCAAAUGAUAGUAAAUGAAGAUGCUCCCCUCAAACCACUACAAUAACUACAAUGUCACCCUCCUAUGCACUAUGUUAAACCUAUGUGAUAGUCUAUGGAAAGGUAGCAUUGAAAUGUACUUUAAUGUUUGCUAAGGGAGUAAUUGAAAUCAAAGUUUUACUUUGGAGCAAACUUGCAAUUAGUCCCUUUUUUUCACAUAAAAGUGAGCUGGUAGUGUAUUGGUAAAACCAAGGCCAUGCACCCUAUUUACAUUAAAAGGCUCCUCAAAUCACCCCUUUCCUGUUUAAUUUUUAUGGUGGCAAGCACCUCAAAUUUGUGCCGGAAAUGUAACAUCUAAGUUCCAUAAUUCACCUACCGAAAUUCAUCUAAGAAAAAUCAUUAAACUAUCUAGUUAGAAUCAAAUAGGACAGUGAGCAGAUGGUUUGAAAUGGGCGCAUCAAAUUCCAAACUGUUGGAAAUAGUGUUAGCAGCACCUAAAGCGCAAGGCACUAAGCUGCGACAGGAAAGGGAUUUUAAGGGUCAAAGCCAGGCAAUUUUAAUCAAGCACACAUUAGGCAAGAGAAGUGCAUGCCUAGGGACUUACAGAGAAGCACCAAAAAGCAUGCCUAAUUAGAGUUCUUGUCUGUUGGUUUUCUAGCUUGUGUAGUUUGAAUUAUUAAAAACUGUUUUACUACCCAUGUGACUUCUAGUUAUUUACUUGCAGGGCAAACUUUCAUUGAUUGUACACGUGACAAUCCACUAACUAUUUUAUGUGAAAUUUAUUCAUUAAAAAAGCUAAACUAAUUGUGAAAGAAACACAAAAGGACAAUAAGGAGAGCUAUGGUUUAUUUGGCCAAAAGAAUGUGACUUUCAUACAAAUAAUUUUUUGUUCUUUCAAAUUAUUAUACUAUUGUUUUUAUCACUUUCUUUUACUAUUCGGUCAAAUCACUCACUCUCUCUCACUUCAUGACGGUCAUUAUUGACAUAAUUGAUGCUAAGAAGGAAAAAGGAAUAUUGCUCUCUCUUCUAUUCUUAUAGAAUCAAAGUUUAAAAGUUAUUCAUUUUCUAAUUAAUCUAUUAUCAGGAUUAGAAACAAACACCAGAUGUAUUAAUAUUUUUCUUAUUUUUUCAAAAAAAUAACAAUUUUCUACAUGCUAUUAAAUGUAUAUACAUAUUAUAGUAAGUAUGCACCUUAUUUUGCCUAGACGAGCACUCGUGCCUUGCACCUAGGCUCCAAGAACCCUGUGUUGUAUAUACAUAUUAUAGUAAUUAUGCACCUUAUUUUGCCUAGAUGAGAGCUCGUGCCUUGCACCUUGGCUCCAAGAACCCUUUGUGCCUAAGUGCACCCAACACUUUAAGAACACUGGCUGGAGGUUGACUACAUGCCUGGUAACUAUGCCAAUUAGUAAGCAAUAAGUACUAUCAAGGAUCCGAUUCUC